GUGAGGAAUAUUGGUCAAUGGCCGAGAGGCUGAACCAGCCAAGUCGCGUGAGGGAUGAAGGUUCUAUGGAUCGUAAACCUCUUUUAUAAGGGAAUAAAGUGCGGGACGUGUCCCGUUUUGUAUGUACCUUAUGAAUAAGGAUCGGCUAACUCCGUGCCAGCAGCCGCGGUAAUACGGAGGAUCCGAGCGUUAUCCGGAUUUAUUGGGUUUAAAGGGUGCGUAGGCGGCCUUUUAAGUCAGCGGUGAAAGUCUGUGGCUCAACCAUAGAAUUGCCGUUGAAACUGGGGGGCUUGAGUAUGUUUGAGGCAGGCGGAAUGCGUGGUGUAGCGGUGAAAUGCAUAGAUAUCACGCAGAACCCCGAUUGCGAAGGCAGCCUGCCAAGCCAUUACUGACGCUGAUGCACGAAAGCGUGGGGAUCAAACAGGA
rnacentral:rRNA from 1 species